AGAGUUCGAUCCUGGCUCAGGACGAACGCUGGCGGCGCGCCUAACACAUGCAAGUCGAACGAGCGAGAGAGAGCUUGCUUUCUCGAGCGAGUGGCGAACGGGUGAGUAACGCGUGAGGAACCUGCCUCAAAGAGGGGGACAACAGUUGGAAACGACUGCUAAUACCGCAUAAGCCCACAGCUCGGCAUCGAGCAGAGGGAAAAGGAGCAAUCCGCUUUGAGAUGGCCUCGCGUCCGAUUAGCUGGUUGGUGAGGUAACGGCCCACCAAGGCGACGAUCGGUAGCCGGACUGAGAGGUUGAACGGCCACAUUGGGACUGAGACACGGCCCAGACUCCUACGGGAGGCAGCAGUGGGGAAUAUUGCACAAUGGGGGAAACCCUGAUGCAGCGACGCCGCGUGGAGGAAGAAGGUCUUCGGAUUGUAAACUCCUGUUGUUGAGGAAGAUAAUGACGGUACUCAACAAGGAAGUGACGGCUAACUACGUGCCAGCAGCCGCGGUAAAACGUAGGUCACAAGCGUUGUCCGGAAUUACUGGGUGUAAAGGGAGCGCAGGCGGGAAGACAAGUUGGAAGUGAAAUCUAUGGGCUCAACCCAUAAACUGCUUUCAAAACUGUUUUUCUUGAGUAGUGCAGAGGUAGGCGGAAUUCCCGGUGUAGCGGUGGAAUGCGUAGAUAUCGGGAGGAACACCAGUGGCGAAGGCGGCCUACUGGGCACCAACUGACGCUGAGGCUCGAAAGUGUGGGUAGCAAACAGGAUUAGAUACCCUGGUAGUCCACACCGUAAACGAUGAUUACUAGGUGUUGGAGGAUUGACCCCUUCAGUGCCGCAGUUAACACAAUAAGUAAUCCACCUGGGGAGUACGACCGCAAGGUUGAAACUCAAAGGAAUUGACGGGGGCCCGCACAAGCAGUGGAGUAUGUGGUUUAAUUCGACGCAACGCGAAGAACCUUACCAAGUCUUGACAUCCUGCGACGGACAUAGAAAUAUGUCUUUCCUUCGGGACGCAGAGACAGGUGGUGCAUGGUUGUCGUCAGCUCGUGUCGUGAGAUGUUGGGUUAAGUCCCGCAACGAGCGCAACCCUUACUGUCAGUUACUACGCAAGAGGACUCUGGCAGGACUGCCGUUGACAAAACGGAGGAAGGUGGGGAUGACGUCAAAUCAUCAUGCCCUUUAUGACUUGGGCUACACACGUACUACAAUGGCGUUAAACAAAGAGAAGCAAGACCGCGAGGUGGAGCAAAACUCAGAAACAACGUCCCAGUUCGGACUGCAGGCUGCAACUCGCCUGCACGAAGUCGGAAUUGCUAGUAAUCGUGGAUCAGCAUGCCACGGUGAAUACGUUCCCGGGCGUGUACACACCGCCCGUCA
rnacentral:rRNA from 1 species